rnacentral:lncRNA from 12 species
CCCCUCCCCUCCCCUCCCCAUGUCCCCUCCAGUGAAGCCUACGGUCGAAGCCUGGAUUAGGCGCCGCGAAAACGCGGGGCUCGGGCGGGUGCUCCCCGAGAUCGCAGCCUGGGAGCGAGGUGCCUGCGGAGGCCAGGGCAGCCUCCCCCUCUCCCCCGCUCGGGAGGGCACUUCAUUCAGGCCUGAGGAGCCGCUGCGAAAACCUGGAACCUGGGGAAACUGAGGCACAAGGAAGGGAAGACCUGGCGGUGCAGGAAUCCGUGGCCCGCGCUGACCUCCAGCCUGUCUCUAAAGUACCGCAUCCGCCUCCAGAAACUGGCCCAUCAGCAUCCCGGCCAGGGGAAACAGGAUGGGCCAAAAACAAGAUGCUGUGGCCCUUUGACAGUUGGGGGAACCCAAACCCUGGGAAGUGAAGGUUCUUGCAAAUGCUUAGCACCAGUUCCCAGCAGAGCUGAGAAGCAAACGCAGGAGUCCUGCCCCAGCCUGGAAGACUGAGGCCACCCCAGGCUUCUCGCACAUGUUUGAGUAUCCGCCGACCUGGAUAGGAUUCCCGCCACCUCACCGGUCCCUGAAGCAGUCGUCCCAGGAGGUUUCAGCUCCCAAGCUGAAUUGCAGAGCCUCCAGGCCUCCUUUGACCUUGAGUCCUUGCUGCCAGGGAGGCUGCAGGAGCAGGGAAGGGAGGUGUCCAGCCCUCCAAACUCUUCCUAAGACUUGUGUUCUCGGACAGCCCCCAGAUGUGGCUUUCCCUUCUGAGAGGUUCCUAGAUGCUGGUGACAGUGUCAGGUAUUGGGGGGGACGGGGUGUGCCGCACACGUGGUGAUCCAGGAGGGCAGACUGGUCACGCAGGAUUCUUGGCUGCACGCAGGGAGUGAUCAGAGUUUCUGUUUCUGCUGUGGCUCAUCCACUCUGGGCGUGUGGUGAGCCUAGCUCCACGCUCUGCGUGACCUCCUCGUCCUCGUGGGUUUCCUUGCUGAGGCUGGGAGCACAGGGCUUGUCUGGGCUCCGCCUU